AUGCAGAAAAUAGACAUGCGUGAUCAUGCUGUUGUUGAUUUUAGAGGAUUAUGGCAGCUUGAAUUAUCAGUUUAACACAUUCUAAAGUCCGAAAAAUAGAAAAAAAAAUGGUCCAAAUGUCCAAAUUAACCAAAAUACUCCAUUUCUUGUCCAAUUCUUGAUCAAUUCUUGCAAAAUCACAAGUAGAAUGAGCCUAUUGCUCUGAUACCACUUGAAAAACCUAGAUAAAAUCUUGUUCUAAGUCAUUAAACUUCAACGAACAGGAGCUUCUACUUUGAACAACAGUUCAACGUACAGAAUCCAUCAAACUGUGUGAGAAUGCAAGAAGGUAAAUAAACGUUUCUUCUAUUCAAAAAUCCAAAUGGACAGUUUCAUUACAGUUUCUUACCCACGCAUGAGUCAUGCGCAACGUAUGAGUCAUACGUUGAUACUAUGCCAUGCGUGACUUACAACAAACACACAAAACACAAACACAUUGGAACUCAAUCCUAAAUACAAACGGAUAACACUUUCAAGACAAAUGACAAAAGCAAUAGACAUUAUGGCUGAACAGGAGAAGCUUAUUGUCGCUGGUCACGGUCGUCAGGCGUAAGAAAAGUGUGUUCUCUGAUCUUCGGACGUCUUUUUUGAGGAACGCCACUACGUGGACCUAUCUUCGAUGGUUUGCAGCAUAUCUAAAAGAAACUCAUAAACCGACUUCCGAUUAAAAACCAUGUCAUUACGCAAAUGCCAUAAGCACCAAAGAGCAAUCAAAACCACAACAUGAAAGGCUUUCCUCUUUUUCUUGGAUCCAUGGAUGAACUCAUGCAAAUCACGAAUGUCACGUAAAGUAAAGGCAUAGAUAGAUCGGACUUCACACCAGGUAGAGAUAACCUGCCAUGUACACUGCGCAAAGGCACAAGAGACGAAUAUGUACUCACACGAUGAAAUGAUCUCCCCAUAGAAAACACACAAAUCCGAGAUGACAAUAAUAUUUCUUUUGGUCAAGGAAUCAGCGGUAGGCAGGGACGGAGCUUAAUGGAAACCCAGGGGUAGGCAAUGAUCAACCCCCCCGGGAACUUUUAGUCAAGCUCCACCACUGGCGGUAGGCAGCUGGUUCUUCUCAGCCCUCUAUAUUUCUUUUGGGGACCCACUGAAAACAUAAGCCAAGGCUGAAUAUCUAGCCAUAAAUUCAACUCAAGACAAGCAUAUGUGUUAGCUACAAAUUGAGAAGAACACAAGAGAGAAGGAAAUUGUUCAAUUCACAGCUAUCAUUCUCAUUAACCAACUAGUUAGUUAUAGUAACUAACAACUCCUAACCACUGUCAUUACAAUAUUACAACUAACCCCCCUGACUAACACAUUAUUACAGUCUAACCCCCCAUAUUACAUUCACUAUCUAACAAUAUGCAACUUCACUACUGGAUUAGGCAAAAGCUGGUGAAAAGUUGGCAGCUGCGUUACAAAAAUAAGCAAACAUAAACGAACACGUCAAGCGAAAAUAGUUAACAAAACCUGCAGAACAGAUCAAAAGACACAAAGAAUUGUGCAUGAUUUCUGGAUUAUAAGUUAAACACACAAAGAACAUUCCCCCUUGUUACUGUUCUAUGCUACAUAUGUCCUCAUAGUCCAGAGGCUUGUCACUUAUGCAUUAAAAGAGUUUUAAAGUAGUGAUUCUAUACCUGAGUAUGUAGCAUAAAAGUCUUAAACUAAAGGAAAAAGAACCUCAAAUUCACUCAACUUACAUUUUUUGGAGUAUGCAAUGUCAGUAAACUCAUAUCUUAAGCAUUGUAAUUACAAACAAAAACAGGCAUAUAUAGCA
rnacentral:lncRNA from 1 species